GCUCACUCCGUCUCUGCCCCCUAGGUCUCUCCAAGGCUCUCUCUCCCGGAGACUCCCUGCCCGUGGGCCGGGGGCGGGGGACUGAAGGACAGGCUCUAAGAGGCAGCUGGUGUUGUUCAGGGACUGAGGAGCUGGCUGUUCCAGGAGGAGGAAGAGUGUGUCACCGUGUGUCACCGUGUGUAUCCUAGUGAGGGCUGUGCCUGGGGUGUAGCUCAGAGGGGCAUGUGCUGGAGGCUAUGGGAAGCCAGGGGCCCUUGUGAUGAAGCUGGGGCUGCUUAGGGGGUGGGGGCUACACAGGUCUAAGAGGAUGCAGGCACACACACAAACACGCAUCCCAUUUCCACCUCCUGGAACACAAACUCACACUUAUAUUAGGGGUACACACAGCUCGCAGGCACUACACACAUACACAGGUGUAGCACACAUACUCACAUACCCUCAGGCUGUCUACCUCGCACGUGUGAUUACAGUGUCUUAGCCUCACGCGCACAUGUACACACACACACACACACACACACACACACACAGAGGGUCCUUUGGGGUGGGUAGGUGGUAAUCAGCCUCCAGAGAAUUUUUCCCCCCUGGGGAAACUUCGUCUCCUUCCUGGGGCAAGUGUGGUAACCCCUCUUCUGGGUCUCACCCCAAAGAUCAGAAGAUUCCAGGUCCCCAGAGAAGAGACCACCUUUUUCUUUUUUUCUCUUCCCCCCCCCCCC